AGAUUGAACGCUGGCGGCAGGCCUAACACAUGCAAGUCGAGCGGCAGCACGGGUACUUGUACCUGGUGGCGAGCGGCGGACGGGUGAGUAAUGCCUAGGAAUCUGCCUGAUAGUGGGGGAUAACGCUCGGAAACGGACGCUAAUACCGCAUACGUCC
rnacentral:rRNA from 1 species